AUUGAGCGCUGGCGGCAUGCCUUACACAUGCAAGUCGAACGGCAGCACGGGGGGCAACCCUGGUGGCGAGUGGCGAACGGGUGAGUAAUGCAUCGGAACGUGCCCGGUAGUGGGGGGAUAACUCGGCGAAAGUCGAGCUAAUACCGCAUACGUACCGAGGUAGAAAGCGGGGGAUCGCAAGACCUCGCGCGAUUGGAGCGGCCGAUAUCAGAUUAGGUAGUUGGUGGGGUAAAGGCCCACCAAGCCAACGAUCUGUAGCUGGUCUGAGAGGACGACCAGCCACACUGGAACUGAGACACGGUCCAGACUCCUACGGGAGGCAGCAAGUGGGGAAUUUUGGACAAUGGGCGCAAGCCUGAUCCAGCAAUGCCGCGUGCAGGAUGAAGGCCUCGGGUUGUAACUGCUUUGUACGGUACGAAAAGGCUACUGGUUAUACCUGGGCGUCAUGACGGUACCGUAAGAAUAAGCACGGCUAACUACGUGCCAGCAGCCGCGGU
rnacentral:rRNA from 1 species